rnacentral:misc_RNA from 1 species
GAAAUGCGAUAAGUAAUGUGAAUUGCAGAAUUCAGUGAAUCAUCGAAUCUUUGAACGCACAUUGCGCCCGCCAGUAUUCUGGCGGGCAUGCCUGUUCGAGCGACAUUUCAACCAUCAAGCCCCCGGCUUGUGUUGGGGACCUGCGGCUGCCCGCAGGCCCUGAAAACCAGUGGCGGGCUCGCUGUCACACCGAGCGUAGUAGCAUACAUCUCGCUCAGGGCGUGCUGCGGGUUCCGGCCGUUAAAAGCCUUUUUUACCCAAGGUUGACCUCGGAUCAGGUAGGAAGACCCGCUGAACUUAAGC